rnacentral:tRNA from 1 species
GUCCCUGUAGCGCAAUGGUUAGCGCGUUGGAAUUCUAAUCCAAAGAUCGCGGGUUCGAAUCCUAUCUGGGAUG